UUUUAGAAAGCAGUUGAUGAAGAAGGAAAGUGUUAGAAAUAUGUAAAUUAAUGAAAGGCUGAGCCAGCAUUUCUAUGCUUUUUAUUGUACAGCUGAAGAACUUAACUGAAAGGUGGAAAACAUGAACCUACCACAGGGAAACAGCUUUUCACAUAAGGCAUAAUUGGUCCGUGGAACUCAUUUCCACUGCCUGCUACUGAAACCAAGGAACAGGCUCUAGACAGGAAUGAUUGGCUUAAAGAGCUGUUUUUCCCUUGUCUGAUUGGGAAGCUGGUGUGAUGCAAUGUGGUGAUGUCCCAGUAUUGGGACAAAUGGAAAAGUUGCUGUUUGUUAUUUUGGGGCAAUUUAGGAAGUGGGUGGUGGGUUCUUAACUACUGAGACAGCUGACAUCCAUCAGGACCUGUGAGACUGGAAGCCAGUUUUAAUUAAGGUAAUUGUGGGGUGGGUUGGCACAAAGCAUCCGGUGCUGAUCCAGCACAGCCUGAAACCUCGAUCAGGUUUGGUCCCACAUUCAAGCUAAGAGGCCAUCGAAAUUUUGGAGCGCUGAGGAACACGGUGCAGGGACUUAACGUGGGCUUUUGUGCUCGCACACUGGACUGGAAACAGCAUGGCUAACCCUAGCGCAGGUGGUGCUGUGCUCUAACUAAGAAACCUUGCUGCACCCAAGCUGGCUCUACUUUAUAGCUUGGGUAAACCAAUACAGCGUUAACAGAUGUGACUAGUUCAUGGGUUCAGCACCCAAAGGUCCUCUGCCUCCAUCUCCCUUGUCUUGUCCCCUGACCUCUGCAUCCCCAGUUUCUCAGUGCCCUGCGUGUUCUUACCUCCCUGCUUUUGUUUUGCCCAUCUUCUUUUUUUCACAGCUACGUAGAAUAGAGCACCACAGCAUACGCUAUUGCUGGUCUGUGAAAAAGAGGAAAUGCAGUGCUUGAAAAUGGGGUGAAGUUGGGGAAUAAAUCCUAUGAGCCAAUUCAGCUGUUGGAUUAUCUGUUAGCUAAUGCCUCUAGAGAGCUCAGGGAAGCUGGAGCCCACAUUCAGUUACCUCUUCCUGGGAAACCUCUCCUGCUUCCCAGACCAGUACCCUACCUACCAAACCAUAAGGAAUCUAAUUAGGCUUUGAGACCCUCGGGUAGUCUGCAGGGAAUCAGAAAACCAUGGACUGCACAAUGUAUAGGAGUUGAAGGCACUCCUACACUAAUUUAAAAAUAGUAAACUGGAGCAAGGUAAGUAUCACAGAGUGAUGUGAAAAAGUACAUUGAUAGAAAAUAAGGAAUAGAAUAUGUGAUGAAGAUUGACAUCACAAGUGAAAAAAGAAGAGGGGAAAAAAAAUAACAUAAAAUAAUGGAAGAUGCAAAGCGAUCAGGGAGCACCGAGAGAGAGACAGGAAUGGAAAGUUGGUGACAGAUGAAGUUGAUAAGGCAAAGGGCCUAGAGGAAUUCCUUGCCCCAGUAAUCACAGAGGCAGCAGAAGGCAAUAUCCCAGGAACUGGGAUUUGUUUUCCUCAGGGAAGGAAGGAAAAUGUCAGAAGGUUUUACUCUUGCACUGGAGUGGAUAAUAAGGCAAUUAGUACUAUUAAAAGUUGUCAGCGCACCCAGACUGGAGUGAUAGAUCACAUCCUAGGAUUGUAAAGGGCGAGGGAGAUGCCGAAAAGCUUUUGUGGAGCAGUUGUGAUAACUUAACUGGAAAGGGAAUUAUUGAGAACUGGUGAGUGUUUAAUGAAGUUCACACUGAAAAAUGAGGGAGCACUGCAAUCCCGGCAUUUACAGAUCUGUAAGCUUGGCUUCACUUCUGCAGGAGAAACUAAAUACUGGUGAGUCACGGCUGUGCACAUUUAUAAGUGGCAAAAUGAAUAUAUUAUUAAAAAUACAUUGUUUUACCAUACAUACCAUGGGAGAAGUACAUACAAUACAAAUGAUUUGGAAUCUGUUGUACAAAAGAUUUAUGCAAAUAAUCUCUGCUAAUAGGAUUUCUCAGUGCAAAUCCUUUCUUGUCAAUAUGAGAAGAGGUCUUGUCAAUGUUAUGCUCAUGAUUUACCUUUCCAAAUAAUAUGUUUUAUAGACGAGGUAACUGCUAACUGUUCGCAAAACUCUGUAAAUAUGUGAAUUAUGCAGUUUAUCAUCCGCAGGUUGAAUAAGAAGGGAGAGGAAUACAAAUUCUCCGUAUGCUAUACCUCCACACGCCUUCCUUUGUCGGGUCUCCACACCUUUUUAUUGCUUGAUCUAUUUUAGAUAGGAACGUGAUUCCUUUAUGAAAUAGUUUGACUGCUGCCAAUAAAAAUAAAAUAAAAACA